rnacentral:rRNA from 1 species
CCCUGCCAUUUGUACACACCGCCCGUCGCUACUACCGAUUGGAUGGUUUAGUGAGGUCCUCGGAUCGGCCCCGCUGAGGUCGGUCACGGCCCUGGCGGAGCGCCGAGAAGACGAUCAAACUUGACUAU